AUUGAACGCUGGCGGCAGGCCUAACACAUGCAAGUCGAACGAGUGGCGGACGGGUGAGUAAUGUCUGGGAAACUGCCUGAUGGAGGGGGAUAACUACUGGAAACGGUAGCUAAUACCGCAUACCAUCGGAUGUGCCCAGAUGGGAUUAGCUAGUAGGUGGGGUAAAGGCUCACCUAGGCGACGAGCCCUAGCUGGUCUGAGAGGAUGACCAGCAACACUGUAACUGAGACACGGUCCAGACGCCUAGGGGAGGAAGAAGUGGGGAAUAUUGAACAAUGGGCGCAAGCCUGAUGCAGCCAUGCCGCGUGUAUGAAGAAGGCCUUGGGGGUGUAAAGUACUUUCAGCGGGGAGGCGUUACCCGCAGAAGAAGCACCGGCUAACUCCGUGCCAGCAGCCGCGGUAAUUC
rnacentral:rRNA from 1 species